CUCCUCCUCCUCCUCCUCCUCCUCCUCCUCCUCCUCCUCGGCUUGCCCUGGCCUUAGAGACUUCGUUUCAAACAGACAGACAGAAAGACUCACUUUUCAGUCAAGGAAGAAAUGAAAAUCCUUUCAUUCUUUUCUUGGGGUAGGAAACAGCUGAGGAACUAGAGAUGCCAGAUCUCAGGGCCUGGCCCCUCUUUGCUAAUCUCAGGGACAAGUGAUCUGCACUUGGAAGAGGAGAGGAAUGGGAGCCAACGUGGUGUACAACAGUGUUCUUCAACAGCAUACCUCCAAAUUGACCCGAAGCAGCUUUAUUUUGGCCUGUCUGUAUGGGGCCAAUGU